UGGGGAAUUUUGGACAAUGGGGGCAACCCUGAUCCAGCAAUGCCGCGUGAGUGAAGAAGGCCUUCGGGUUGUAAAGCUCUUUUGUCCGGGAAGAAACGGAUUUCUCUAACAUAGGAAUCUACUGACGGUACCGGAAGAAUAAGCACCGGCUAACUACGUGCCAGCAGCCGCGGUAAUACGUAGGGUGCAAGCGUUAAUCGGAAUUACUGGGCGUAAAGCGUGCGCAGGCGGUUUCGUAAGUCAGCUGUGAAAUCCCCGGGCUUAACCUGGGAAUGGCAGUUGAGACUGCGAGGCUAGAGUGUGUCAGAGGGGGGUAGAAUUCCACGUGUAGCAGUGAAAUGCGUAGAGAUGUGGAGGAAUACCGAUGGCGAAGGCAGCCCCCUGGGAUAACACUGACGCUCAUGCACGAAAGCGUGGGGAGCAAACAGGAUUAGAUACCCGUGUAGUCC
rnacentral:rRNA from 1 species